UCAUUAAUUUUCACAAGGCCUGACAGCUCCAGCGUUAAUACUCACACUUGCGGAUCGAGCCACACAGCAGGUUCAGAGUCUGCUACCUUCUCCUCUGAAACUCAUGCAUUAGGAUUUCUUCCAUGCUGGCAAUGGAAAACCAAGUCUGAGAAACAUUAAACACAAAAAACUACGUUACAAUAACGCCAGGGUCGAGCCAUAAACCCAUGAAAGCAAGGAAGGACUGAGCGAACGCCGCCUCGGUGCUGCAGGGAACGGGCUCCUCUCCCAGGGACCUCGGGCACAGGUGCUGCUUCACCUGCACGGGCACUUCAGAGAAGUCUGAUGCUGCAGCACCAGCGGUACCCAAGACCAAGGGUUUCCACUCAUUCUCUCUUCUGUAGGUAAAUGUAGUAAAUUUUGCACAGCGCUGGGCCAAAACAUCGCCGCGUGCAGCACGAACCCCGCAGGACCCACUCGGGUCUGACUGAACGACGCUCUGACAUGGAGGCCGUUGGAACUUGCAGGAGGGACAGAGGAGAACGGAAGAGAUGAAUUCCUUCCCCGCCACGCACAGGAGACAUCUCCAGCACAAAACUGCAGCAAACUUCGUGUCUGCCUUGCAGCUUUUCUGCUCAUCUCUCAGCAGUGAAGGCAAAUGCCAAAUGCUGCUUAGGGAGCGCGGAGCCUUCAGAGUAACGGAUGGGGGAGAGCAGCUCAGGGAAAGGUGAGGACGUGCAGGUAAUCUUUUAUCAUUUGCAGCUCUGUUUUAAACUAAAACUCUGCGUUGGCUGCUUACACCAAAAAAAUUUUAAUGGCAACAUUCAAGAGAGAAGGAGCUAUUGCACUCUGAUACCCAGCCUGGCCUGUAAUAUGAAAGCUUCUGGUUCAUUAGAAAAGAUGUACAUAAUUCUGAGGUCUUUAUGGUUCACUUACCAACAAUUACAGGAAAUUCAAAGUACAGAGUGUUCCUGAGCUCUCAUUCCUUAAUAUUAUUAACUUGAGAAGAAAUGAAACUCUGGAAAAAGCAGGUGAAUCUCCAGCACUUUACAUCCCUGAGCUCUCAUUUGUCUUCCUUUCCUUUGUAGUCUCCAUCCCACCCCCAGUUUGAUGUUAUUUUGUUCUCCUGUGUGUUGGCUUUCCAUCUUUUUGCCUCUCUCCUUGCACUGCUGUCCCCUGGUGUGUUGCUUUGUUCCUUCUCUACUAAACAUACCAUCAAUAGCCAGUGAGGGUUUGGUGACUGUCACCUCACAGCUGGGGUGCAGGAUGAGAAAAGAGACCAGAACAGCUCAGUGAAGUGAGGCAUUGAAGUGACCUGAGCCUCAAAGCCAUCUCAAGUCCUGAGAAACUCCGUUCCCAAAGCUGUGGAAGGGCCACCACAAACCAGCCCUCAGCCAAGUGCUGAGACCAGCCUGGUGUCACAGGACGAGGCAGCAGAGUGGGCAGCCUCAGAUGACAAAGCAGGACAAAGGAAGCCAAAGUUCCUUUAGCUCUGGGAGAAGGGCUUCUCUUCCCCUUCUCCGCCCCACCACUGGUAUCAGAGUGCCCACAAAUACAAUGCCCAUCCUCCAAAAUCAAUAUACUCCCUAAACACAGUCAGUAAAGAUCCCAAGUUCUCCUAUAACAGGCACGAUGAGGGUGGAUGGGAGAAGUGGAGUUGCACAGGUCUUUCUUUCACAGCCCUUUUGUGCCAAGACACAUCAUUCUGAUAAAGAAUUUGCCCAAGCUCAAAUACUCAGCCUCAGCCCACUGCAACCAGAGGGUUAAUUAACAAGCUAUGCAGGAUGGUUAUAGCCAGCAAUAAGCAGCCAUUUAUUUUUCUUCAACAAAAAAAGAAGUCAGUAAUUCUUGGAACAUUUAUUAACCCCCUAGUAUAGGCAAUUACUGUAAGACAAAGGUCUGCCAGUCUUGCAUUACUAUAAAUUGCUGCAUGUUGCUUUUCCACAGCACAGUAAUGUCCACAGCAGUGUGAAUAAAUGCUAACAUUUGAGUUUUAAGCUUGAUUCAACCCCCUUGAUCAAACAUUUUUAGCAGAUCUUCACUCUCAGUGGCUGUUCGGCCACAAGAAAAAUAACCAUUUUAUACAAGCCCAAAAAAUGCAGGAUGCUAUUUCACUGACAUACUGUUUUGUAGCUCAAAUUAAGGUAAUCUCACUGAUACACUGUUUUGUAGCUCAAUUUAAGGUAAUCUCACAUAUUUUCUAACAUGCAGAACUGAAAAGAGGAAGGGGGUGGGAGGUGCAGAACCCAAAGAUCAUUCCUGCUGUCUACCAGAUUCUGUAGUCACAUACAACAGAAAAAAAAUAGCAGCUAUUAAAAAAAAAAAAAAAAAGAAAAGAAAAAGGCUUUGUAAUAGACAGAACACUGCCAACCAGCUUUAAAUUGAAUUACACAGCCUGCUAAUCUUUAUGAUGAAAUAAAAUUUCUUCGAACACUACACAUUAUACUAAAAUCUGCAGGGCUUUCUCCGCAGCCCCAAAGCUUUCUCUCUGCUCAAAGUAACUUCUCCAUGCCACAGCCAUUGUUCUUUCUAGGCAGGAAUGUGAUGCUCCUCUAGCAGGAAGACUUAUUUUAAUUAGAUAUUGUUAAUAGGGUGCAAGUGGUGUGAAAAUUUAGGAGAGAAGUGUUUUUGCACUUGGUAUUUUUGAUGCAACAUUAAAUUUGUAAGUGACAAAAUAAACUGAUGGUGUACAAAGAG